AAGAACUGUGUUAUUAAGGAAAAUUGAGGUUUUCUAUUUAAUUUCAACACACUUUUGAGCAAAUGCAAACUUCAAUAAAUAAUAUAUAUUAAAAUGACACAGUGAUCUUGCAAGGUAAGUUACUAGAACUGUUUUGACAACCACUUAGAUCCUCAGUUCAAACUCUUACAAAUUUUAAAAGCUUUCAUAUAAAUAACUGAAUCUAUGUUAAACACUUAGAGUUACCACAAAAGGACAUCACCUGACAAGCUUUGAGGAUAUAAUCUGAUCCCAUCUGGUGGACACCAACUAAAGCAAUCUGUCAAGUUCACCCUUUAAAUGGCACUGUUGAAUAAUUUGACUACCAGUGAAGAGGAUGUGUAAGUGCAAAGUGACGUUACUUUUUCAUCCACAUUUACAAGAAGACUGGAAGCAUUUCGAGGCAGAACACAUGCUGUGCUUUCAUUUUGCCUCGGAGAAGAUGUGCUCACCAUAGAAACCAUCUUGGAAACAAAGAAGUGAAACAUAACACGUUGUAACCUGAUGUGUCCACACAUGCACUGAAACUCCUCCCCCCCAUUAAUUGGUUUGUUACAUCAGGGAACUACAUAACCCGUGAACACAACUGUACAUGCCAUAUUCAGUGCAAACUUUUUAGCCAUCAGCUGUUUGCUUAUAUAACAGGGCUGUCAUGAUAUCACAGUUUCACUUCGUGUCUGUCGUGUUGGAUAAUGACACCACUCAGGAAGAAGACUACUGGUAAGACUGUUUUCCUCUCUGUGUUAGCCUUGUGACAGACUGGUGACGGGGUUUAUCCCAUUUUGUUAUCCUCAAUUCAUGGUUAUUAUGAUACCCCAGAGGAAAUGAGCUUCAUUUCCAUUAGAGCUCUUAUUGUGCCUACUUGAUGCAUUUACUGAUGAGAAGGUCUGUAUCAAAUACACACAACUAUUAGGUUAUUCUUUUGAUGCUUGUGUUUGGGUUUUAGGUGUUUUUACAUGCUCCAUUUGUUGCUGUUCUUUUAACUCUCUCAAGCCUAACCUGUCGCUGGCAUCAGACAGGUGUUUUGCAAUGCUCUUUUCAAUAUCUGCAACUCCCGUAACUCCUGAACCAUUUGCUUGAUUGAAAGAAUUGCAAUGGUUCCCGAAAGCAGCGACUCUGCGCUUUUCAGUGAUAUUAGGGUUAUUACGGUAAUCCCAGGCACAGUGUCUUAGCAGCCCUGUGAAGAUGAAGGUUGGUUGAGAGAAGAGAGAGCGAAUGAGUGUGAUGAAGCAUUACAAAAAAUUUGAUCUAAAAAACCUCCCAAAACAACAAAAAACAAAAAGGAAAAAAGCCCUCACUUGCUCUUCCUGCUGUGAGAGAGGCUAAUACAAUACUGCUGUUUAUGCAUCAUUAGUAUAUUAUCUAAGAGAGAGCUGCAAGAGCAGCACUUCCUUCCUGCGUUAUGUAGAAAUGUAUGAUUGUUGCUUACUGGAGCUUUUAGAAAACAAAAGCAACACUUAGUUUGAGAAAGACAACAGACAGUAAACAACCAUAACAUUUAUUCUAGUUGUUGCAAUCAAAUGCGAACUGAGAAUACGCCCUCAAAUGUUGUAACGGUAUGCACAGGUUGAUAAGAAACCUUCCUUUCUCAAGGACUUUCCCACAGGCAAGGCAUCACCAAGCAGGAAAUUUUGGGUCACCUCUUUAACCUUUAAACAUCUGCCUUCCUUAUGCAUCCAUCAAGUCUCCUGCUGUACUGACAGGGCAUACGACAGAGGGAGCCUUAGCACAUGGAUGAAAAAUCCCCUCCUCGCUGCUUUGGGGCCAGCUAUGUGGUUUGGACUUAACAUGGGGAUGCUCUGUCUCAGGAGACGGCUUUCUAUGGCCUCACCAAGAAAGCAGCAGUAUGAAAGAUGUGAAAGUCCCAACAAAGCUGCACAGAUGUAAGGACUGAAGGAUGCACAUGUGUGUUGCAGUGACACGAAGUCCCGCUGAUAUUUUCAUCUUGUACCACUUAUUGACAGCUGCAGCAGCAAUAUGUCUGGAUAUGCACCAACCAAAGGAAGAGGGACUGCAAGCAAUCAAACGUGGCAGUGAAGAAAUGUAGCUUUCAAAUUCUUUAUAAAACUGUUUUUGCUGUUUUGAGGAAGAAGAUACACUUAACCUGUUUAUUAAACCACAAGAACAUGCAUAAAGUGGAUUGAUGAGAAACAGGGGUGUUAAAUAAAUAAAUUCUAUUAGUACUAUGGAAUAUAGCCAGUCCCAAUCCAAGGUGACCAGGGCACCAUUAUACCAGAGGCAAAAAAGUUUCUUUAAAAUUUAAAUGCAAUCCAAGCUGAAUGAAAAAUAUGCUAUAAAUGAAGCACAAAUCAUGAAGGGGGAAGAGGGAUGGGGGGAUUGGAGACUUUUCCAACAGCCAUUGGGCAAGAAUUAUGAAAAUGAGGAGGUGAAAUGUACAUUAAUUUAAUGCUGGUUAAUUAAAACAGUCAAUCUUACCUGAUCCUUUCUCCUUUCUUAGAAAAAACGCCACAGCCAGGAUAA